rnacentral:rRNA from 1 species
UACAGAGACUGCAAGCGUUAUUCGGAUUCACUGGGCGUAAAGGGUGCGCAGGCGGCCAAGUGUGUCAGGUGUGAAAUCCCGAGCUUAACCUCGGAACUGCGCCUGAAACUACUUGGCUAGAGUACUGGAGAGGGUAACGGAAUUCCCGGUGUAGCGGUGAAAUGCGCAGAUAUCGGGAGGAACACCGGUGGCGAAGGCGGUUCUCUGGGCCUGUACUGACGCUGAGGAGCGAAAGCGUGGGGAGCGAACAGG